CCUCACAGUCUCAGGCAUUUGAAUCAGUGGAGGAAGCUUCCCAGGUGUGGCCUUGCUGGGGAAAGUGUGUGGAGUGGGAGCAGGCUUUGAGUUUUCAGAUCCUCCCACCAUCCUCAGUUAUCUCUCUCAGCCUCCUCUUUUGUGGUCAAGAUGUGAGUUCCCAGCUGCUGCUCCAUCCUCCACGCCUGCCUGCUGACAUGCUUCCCCUUCAUGACGGUGAUGACCUCCAACCUGCUGGGAGCGGUGUUUUGUCUCGGUGGUGGAACGCAGACUGAAGGCCAGGCUCAACUGUUUGAACCAUGUUCCCUCAGACAAACCUGCGUGCCAAUACGGCAGGGGUGGCCGAGAGAAAGAGUACUGAGAUUGUGAAACUGACCGGGACUAUACAGGCAGGCUAUGAUUAAGAGGACGUUUAUGUGAGAAGGAUCACCAAUGUGUCACGGAGGUGAAAGGUUGGAGGAAAGUCGCUUUUAUGCUGGCCCCAGAGACAGAGCGACCAGGGAGAGCUCUUCUGUCCUGCCCAGAAGCGGCCAGCCCUGCUAACACUGCGGGUCUAGCCCAGGCAAGCUAAUUUCGGAUUUCUCCUCUCCAGCUGCAAGUAUCGGAUUUGUACCAUUUAAAUCCCCGCAUUUCUAAAGGAGAGCAACAGGAAGCCCACGCGAGGUUGACGAUGGUCACUGUUGCUAGGGCAUUUUCCUGCUUAAGAAUACAAGAACGUGUAUGUUGCAUAUGCUUGUGCUUAUGUAUGAUGUGUAUGUAUAUGCUUUAUAUGUUUAAAACCA